rnacentral:lncRNA from 1 species
AUGAUACUGAUUUUUUUUUUGGAAUCCUUACCUUCCUUACCUAAUGGAUUACCAAAGGAAUGCAUAGAACGUCUGACAAAUUCGUUUGGUGAUAAUAUAUUAAAUUCUAAUUAUAAUACAAAUAUAUAUAACAAUUAUAAUUUACCUUACUCACAUAUUAAUACAUAUAAUAAUGGAGCUUAUAUGGAUAAACAAUAUUUAUACAACUAUUAUGUAUACAAUAAAUAUUAUGGUACUUAUAACAACAUUAAUAAUACUACGAGUAAUGAUCAAGGUAAAGUAGAUACUACUACUAAUAUAACUGAUAUAACUGAUAAUAAUAAUAUUACUAAUAUUAAUGAUAACAAUAAUAAAAAUAUUGACAUUACACACGAUAUAAAUAAAAAUAAUGUCUCUGAAGAUAUUAUAAAAAAAGAUAUUAAUACAAAUAACAACAAUAUAUGUACGAAUAAUGACAACAUUGAUAAGAUCAACAAUAAUGAUAAAAAUAUAACACAAGAAUCGACUAUAAAUAUAAAUAAUACUAAUAGUAACGAUAAAAACAGUAGUAAUAUUAGUAGUAAUUCGAAUAAUUAUUUUAACAAUUAUAACAAUAAAUAUAUGUUAUAUAUGAAUAAUUAUUUAAAAUCAAAUGAAAAUAAUAAUAAUAAUAUAAAUAAAAUGGCUAACUAUCCUAUGAAUUACUACUAUUAUAAUUAUUCUAAUUAUAAAAAUUUAAACAACAAUACUAAUAAUAGUGAAAAUUAUUUUACACAUCAGAAUAACUACUAUAUGAACUCUGUUGGUACUAAUCCUAUCGGUACUAAUCCUAUCGGUACUAAUCCUAUCGGUACUAAUCCUAUCGAUACUAAUCCUAUAGGUACUACCCCUGUUGGUACUAACUUUAUAAACAAUCCCAGCUAUGUUAUGAAUAAUAUAAACAAUGUAAAUACUUAUAAUCCCAAUACAAACAAUUAUUUACCGAAUAAAGGAAAAAGACAUUACAACAAUAAUCAUAACACUAUCGGUCGCAACAAUAAUACGAUCGGAUUUAACAACAACAAUAACAACAAUAAUGGUAAACUAAAAAACAAUGGAUACCCUUUAACGAAAAAGGCUCGAACGGAAAAUGACAUACAUCAUAACAAUUAUAACAAUUAUAAUAAUAAUAACAUUUAUAAUAAUAAUAAUAAUAAUAAUUCGAAACAUAAUGAGUACUUAAAAAAUUUAAAUACACAUGAACAAAAUGAAAAUAAAAGGCAUAUGUGUAUAAAUGGAAAAAAGGAACAAACAGAAAAAAAUACUCAACAAUAUUUUGUACCUAUUAAUUUAAGACUAAAAAAUAAAUUGAAUGACACUUGUGAAACAAAAAUUAAUGUACUCGAUAAGGAAAAUAAAAGUGGUAAUAUAGAGAUGGAAUUUAAUAAAUUCAUUAAAGAAGUAGAUUUAAAUUAA